UACGAAGGGGGCUAGCGUUGUUCGGAAUUACUGGGCGUAAAGCGCGCGUAGGCGGUGAUCUUUGUCAGAGGUGAAAGCCCGGAGCUCAACUCCGGAAUUGCCUUUGAAACGGGAUCGCUUGAGUCCGAGAGAGGAUGGCGGAAUUCCUAGUGUAGAGGUGAAAUUCGUAGAUAUUAGGAAGAACACCGGUGGCGAAGGCGGCCAUCUGGCUCGGUACUGACGCUCAGGCGCGAAAGCGUGGGGAGCAAACAGG
rnacentral:rRNA from 1 species